CGGAUGUGGUGGAAUUGGCAGACACGCUGGAUUUAGGUUCCAGUGCUGUACGGCAUGCAGGUUCAAGUCCUGUCAUCCGAA
rnacentral:tRNA from 1 species